rnacentral:lncRNA from 1 species
GCAGCCUCAGGGGACCCCUGGGAAUGCAAAGCCUGGAUGGGUGCCCCCAGCUUGGGCAGAACAGCAGAACCGCCCCUGGGACAGCAAACCCCCGGAGGUGGCGGGUCCCUCCCUGCUGAAGGGGCUGGGAUGCUCCUGCUGGAGAGCUGUGGGGGUCUGCAGCGUCCUCAUCCCCAGCCGGCAUUCCCAGACCACCCCAGAAGAUGCCCAGCACUGGGUAUCUGCCUGGAAUAAACCUUGUCCCUGCUGUGGUCCUCAUCGAGGGGACCCUGAGAGCUGGUGCCAUGUCCUGCACCCCAAACCCACCAUGGGCAAGCCCUGGUGAUGCCAGGAGUCACGGUGCAUGCUGAGGGAGCAGGUGAGAGGAGGAGAGGAGCUGCCCUCCUCACCUGGUGGGGGAAGAAGGACCAACUGUGCCCUGUCCUGAGGGCUUUGUCCCACUGUCCUUCCAGCUCCAAUGGGGCAAGGAGCAGAAACCUCUCCCGGGCUCUGGAGCGCUCUGCCUUCAUCUCAGCUCAUCUGCCACAUCUGAAAUGUGAUUUCUACCAUCUGGUGCCCAACCCUCCACCCCCAGCAUGGCCCCAGGACCUUGGGGAGGUCAUAACUUCGUCUGUUGAGGUUUCUUUGAAGCCAGCUAAACUUUGCACUCUCAAAGAGAAUGCAAACUACACAUCCUGGGAAGACCAGAAGGAACAUGGAUGGGUUUGUUGUGGACAAGCCAAGAGUGAUCAGACCCACCAAUAUGUCCAGGGAGAAGCUCUCAGCCAGGCACUUGAGUCUUUCAUCAUAUAAUGCAGGGUGUGAGGGAGAAGAGCAGGCAGUGACCACCUCCUUAUCUACCCAGAGCUGGAGGAGAAACACAAGCCCAUGUCUCUCACAGCAAGGCUUGAGUUUGCUCCCAGUUGUAUGCUGUUAGGGAGCUCACACCUCAUUUACUGGGAGAAAAACACAGUGGAGAUGCCCAUGAAUAUGAAAUGAAACAUCUCCAAGAGCUGUAAUGCAGUUUCACCAAAAACACCAGAAAAGAGUGUAAGUUUCUACACAGAGACCUGACAGGAUUCCCUAGCAAGAUAUUAAGAGACACUUGAGUGGCUCUCAUUAAAGGGAGAUUAAUUAAUUGAACAGCAGGGUUGGAUGUAAGAAAUGCAAAACAUGGAGCAACUGAUUUAAGGAUGAGGUUUACUGACCAAAAGAAAAACAGAAAAUAAAUAAGUCAGAGGGCAAUCUAAAUCUUUCCUU